UUCCACGGAUUCCGUGACGCAGCUAACGCAUUAAGUUCCCCGCCUGGGGAGUACGGCCGCAAGGCUAAAACUCAAAGGAAUUGACGGGGACCCGCACAAGCGGCGGAGCAUGCGGAUUAAUUCGAUGCAACGCGAAGAACCUUACCAAGGCUUGACAUAUAGAGGAAACGUCUGGAAACAGUCGCCCCGCAAGGUCUCUAUACAGGUGGUGCAUGGUUGUCGUCAGCUCGUGUCGUGAGAUGUUGGGUUAAGUCCCGCAACGAGCGCAACCCUCGUUCUAUGUUGCCAGCACGUAAUGGUGGGAACUCAUGGGAUACUGCCGGGGUCAACUCGGAGGAAGGUGGGGAUGACGUCAAAUCAUCAUGCCCCUUAUGUCUUGGGCUUCACGCAUGCUACAAUGGCCGGUACAAAGGGCUGCAAUACCGUAAGGUGGAGCGAAUCCCAAAAAGCCGGUCCCAGUUCGGAUUGAGGUCUGCAACUCGACCUCAUGAAGUCGGAGUCGCUAGUAAUCGCAGAUCAGCAACGCUGCGGUGAAUACGUUCCCGGGUCUUGUACACACCGCCCGUCAAGUCAUGAAAGUCGGUAACACCUGAAGCCGGUGGCCCAACCCUUGUGGAGGGAGCCGUCGAAGGUGGGAUCGGUAAUUAGGACUAAGUCGUAACAAGGUAA
rnacentral:rRNA from 1 species